AUGUUCACUUUGCAACAAACCAAAAGAACAGUGCCCUCUGUAUAUGAACUCAAGUCAUCUAAACAAGUUGAUGGCUUGCCAGACUCUGUUUGUCUGGUCACAGAUUUUCAAUUUCCUAAUACAAUUCUGAAGUUAGAUGGAAGCAGAACCAUAGACCUAAAUACAACAGCUGCACUGGAUAAGUCCGAAAAUGAUGUGUGGAGAUACAGUACAGUUGUAUGGAAUGAUGACAACCCUUCUAAAAGCCUUUCUUGUAACAUGCAGUAUGGGGAAAACUAUGUUUAUCCAGACACAAUCACAAAUGAAACUACUGAGCAAUGUUUAUCAGAAUCUGUUGCCAGGAAUUUUAAAACAGAUAUAAGCCUAAACAGAUUGUCAUUUUCAAUACUUGGAUUAAGGUUCCUAACCAUCAAGGGAAUACUAUUUAAUGUUAUAACAACAAUAAAACUAUGGUAUCCCAAGCUGUAA